ensembl:lncRNA
UAUUGGAAAACUUUUUUGCUUCAGUAAAUAACACCAUUUAAAAACUGUAUUUUGUGUUUAAUCAGGUCGCCUUUGUUGUAUCUUAGAUUUUAUUCUCGUUUCUGAAAUAGAUGAGACGGAGAUGCAGAAGAUCAUGCAGUGCCCUCUAACAAUGGCGUAUUUUAGGUACCAAAUGCAAAUAAUUCAAAUUUAGAGAUAACUACACAAAGACUAGCCUGUUUAGUGUCUAGCUCUCUUUGUAUUAUCUCACUUAUACUUCCUCUUGUUGUGAAAAAGAAUAUUUUCCUGGACGUCCAGCAGCGUUAACUCAAAAUAAACCAGAAAGAUGAUUCCUUCACUGAAACGAGUUACUGUUUGGUUACUAACAACAUUUACAACAUGCAACGCUUCACUUCCCGAUUCUAGUUUCGCAAAACCUGAAAAAUACCAGAUUGAUCCACGAGUAGCGUGUGCCCUGGACCAAAUCUGGAACAGAAGAGCGGAGACGCUACCACAGGAAACUGUUGUACGUUAUUUGAACAACGUGAUGGACGUUACAACUCUUGUGAAAGCCAACACUACUGACCGGAGUAAACUAACUUGCUACGGAAAUGGUGUACUGGACAUCACUGAGAAACUGGUGUCUGCACUGGUGAGGAAAACCGACACCAUGGAAUCCAUCAACAUCUCUCUACAAACUUUAGAGGUUCGGGUAAUUAUGAUUGGACAAAACUCCUCUGUGAAUGAGAUCCGUACUCUCGUCACAAGGACUGCUUCCAUGGAUAUCGAGCUCAUGGGGAUCUUGAAGAAUAACAAUGGAUCAGCCGCUGUGGCGUUCAUGAGCUACACCGACAUGGCAGACAUCCUCACACUUUACGACUUUGACAUGUUUAUGAGUAGAAGGAAAAGCAUGAUGUCUACUGUGGUGUCAGUAACACUUCCCCAAACCACCAACACACACCUCAACACACCAGUCAACCUCACCUUCACACACAUCACAGUAAGUUAUUACACAGUUCAGAUGAUUUAUUUACUGUUUUUUACUCACCAGUUUUCAGAUUUGAUUUGAUUCCCUCUUCUUCCGCACUAGGAGUUGGACCCUGAAGGCAUUCUCUCCUGUGUGUACUGGAAGGAAACUGAGUGGUUCAAAGGUGGUUGUAAGAACACAGAGAAAAACAGCACUCACACUGUGUGCUCUUGUCGUCAUCUGGGUACCUUCGCUCUCAUCGCUGAGCUCGACCCGAUCAUGGGAAGAGAGCAGG